UACAUGGUUCACCUCCCUUGUAGGCAGAUGAGUCUCAAGUCUAUGGUGUAGAGACAUUGGGGUAAAGGUGCAAGUGGUUGUUAGAGAAUAACUUGCACUGAGUGUGACCAACACGAGAACCACAUGGAUGUCUACUCACUCGUCAGUGAUCUUCUCGAUGCUGCAGUAGUGUGAGUGGUCCUUCGACCUGUGGUGUCAUUGGCUAUUCGCAGUGAGGCUACUGGGUUUGACUGUAUAUUUUUUUGGUCCCUAGCCAUUCAGAUCCUUGCUGUGUAUGUUGGCUUCAGUAGGUUUAGGUUUGCUGUUUGGAGUAGGAUGCACCU
rnacentral:lncRNA from 1 species